GCUAAGUGCAGGGGUGCACACCUGUAAUCCCAGCAACUUGGGAGGUUGAGGCAGGAGGAUCACAAGAACGAAGUCAACCUUGGCAAUUUAGUGAGACCCUGCCUCAA
rnacentral:sRNA from 1 species